CAUCCAAUCUUCAUGAACUCAGUUGGGAGUUGCUGGACAACUUGGCCCAGAGCAAUCUUUGUGACUGCUGUGAAUCGAAAUGCAAGUCAAGGAGGCAGAGGAGUGUUGCGUCAGAGAAACAUGGAAUGGUACAAAAAGCAGUCAUUGGGCCAUUUACCAUCACAGAUGUGAAUUCCUGAAGGAAUGGAUCCAUUUCGCUGACUGGGUUCUUCAAUCUGAAUUUGGGUUUUAUUGUUUCGUAAGCUUAGUGCGAGCCUGUCUCUUUGCAUUUCACAUUGUAUGUUGCUAAUAAAACAAUGUAUCUGAACCACUUAA